GACGAACGCUGGCGGCGUGCCUAAUACAUGCAAGUCGAACGCAGUUGCGAACGGGUGAGUAACGCGUAGGUAACUGCCUCAAAGCGGGGGAUAACUAUUGGAAACGAUAGCUAAUACCGCAUACUGUGAGAUUGAACUGCGUUUUAUUAGCCUGUUGGUGAGGUAAAGGCUCAACAAGGCGACGGUACAUAGCCGAACUGAGAGGGGGAUUCGCCAAACUGGGACUGAGACACGGCUCAGGCUCCUACGGGAGGCAGCAGGUGGGAAAUGUCGGGAAUUGGGGGAAGGCUGACCGGGCAACGCCGCGGUGGGUAAGGAGGGUUUCGGGUCCUUAAGCCCUUGUUUUAGAGGAGCGGUAACUAACCAGAAAGCGACGGCUAACUACGUGCCAGCAGCCGCGGUAAUUC
rnacentral:rRNA from 1 species